rnacentral:rRNA from 1 species
AACGAACGCUGGCGGCAUGCCUAACACAUGCAAGUCGAACGGGAUCCUGGUUUCGGCCAGGUGAGAGUGGCGGACGGGUGAGUAACGCGUGGGAACCUGCCCAGUGGUGGGGGAUAACUGCGGGAAACUGCAGCUAAUACCGCAUGAGCCCGCAAGGGGAAAGAUUGAUCGCCAUUGGAGGGGCCCGCGUUCGAUUAGGUAGUUGGUGAGGUAACGGCUCACCAAGCCUACGAUCGAUAGCUGGUCUGAGAGGAUGAUCAGCCACACUGGGACUGAGAUACGGCCCAGACUCCUACGGGAGGCAGCAGUGGGGAUAUUGGACAAUGGGGCAACCUGAUCCAGCAAUGCCGCGUGAGUGAUGAAGGCCUUCGGUU